UCCUUACUACAAAGGCGUGUUUUUGGUUCCCUGACCUUGGAUACGUAAGAAGUAAGAAUCAGAGGCAAAGAAAUGAGGUGGAUUUGGAAAGGUCUGGGACCAGCUUGCCCCUGGCAGGCUCAUGAACAACCAUGCCACAAAG